rnacentral:rRNA from 1 species
AUUGAACGCUGGCGGCGUGCUUAACACAUGCAAGUCGAUCGGUAACAGGUGUAGCAAUACAUGCUGACGAGAGGCGGACGGGUGAGUAAUGCUUGGGAAUCUGCCUAUUAGUGGGGACAACCCGGGGAAACUCGGGCUAAUACCGCAUACGCUCUACGGAGGAAAGCCGGGGACCGCAAGGCCUGGCGCUAAUAGAUGAGCCCAAGUCGGAUUAGCUAGUUGGUAGGAACGCCUACCAAGGCGACAAUCCGUAGCUGGUCUGAGAGGACGACCAG